UAAACCCUUCUCCUGUGUCCUUGAAAAC
rnacentral:piRNA from 1 species